CGGUUAUACGUUAUUUAUAAAUAAUUUAAUUAGAAAGUGUAUGAUUUUUAUAAAUAUAUAUAUAUGUAUAUAAAGGGGUGAAAUCUUUUAAUUAUAAUAUUAUUUAUUUUUUUCCACAUAAUCUUAAGAAAUAAACUAGGAUUAGAUACCCUAUUAUCCUUAAGAAUUUUAAGAAUCUGAAGUAGUAAAAAUUGAAACUUAAAAAUUUUGGCAGUAUUCAAUUUUUUAGAGAAAUAUGUAAUUUAAUCGAAAAUACACGAAAAUCUUACUUAUUUUCAUUUUGUAUAUCUCCGUUGACAGAUUUUUAUAAAAAUCAAAAUAAUUUUCUAAAAAUAAAAUAUGAAACAUCAGGUCAAGGUGCAGAAUAAAUAAGUUAUUAUGUAUUACAUUCAAGUUUAUUGAGAUGGAUAAAUAAUUGAAAUAUUAUUUUAAAAAUGAAUUUAUAAGUAAAAUAAAAUAAUGAUUUUAUUUGAAAUAUUAUUGAAUAUG
rnacentral:rRNA from 1 species